rnacentral:rRNA from 1 species
CCUACGGGAGGCAGCAGUAGGGAAUCUUCCACAAUGGACGAAAGUCUGAUGGAGCAACGCCGCGUGAGUGAUGAAGGUUUUCGGAUCGUAAAACUCUGUUGUAAGGGAAGAACAAGUACGAGAGGGAAUGCUCGUACCUUGACGGUACCUUGCGAGAAAGCCACGGCUAACUACGUGCCAGCAGCCGCGGUAAUACGUAGGUGGCAAGCGUUGUCCGGAAUUAUUGGGCGUAAAGCGCGCGCAGGCGGCCUUUUAAGUCUGAUGUGAAAGCCCCCGGCUCAACCGGGGAGGGUCAUUGGAAACUGGAAGGCUUGAGUACAGAAGAGAAGAGUGGAAUUCCAUGUGUAGCGGUGAAAUGCGUAGAGAUGUGGAGGAACACCAGUGGCGAAGGCGACUCUUUGGUCUGUAACUGACGCUGAGGCGCGAAAGCGUGGGGAGCAAACAGGAUUAGAUACCCUGGUAGUCCACGCCGUAAACGAUGAGUGCUAGGUGUUGGGGGGUUUUCCGCCCCGUCNGUGCUGAGCUACGCAUAAGCACUCCGCCGUCGGGAGGUACGGCCGCGAGGCGNGAACGUACGAAAGGAAGUUAGUACGGCGUGAGACGUAGCCGACGGACGACGACGAGGGAGGAGGG